AGAGGGGCUCAGUGGUUGCUGAGGGCACCGAGAUCUCUCACCAACAGACAGCAGUUCUUAUUUUAUUUUCUGGCGGAGUGGGUGGCAUGUGGAAGUUCCCAGGCCAGGGAUCGAACCUGUGCCACAGCAGCAACCCAAGCUGCUGCAGUGACAGCGCCGGCUCCUUAACCCACUGCUCCACAAGGGAACUCCGACAGCUGCAGUUCUAAAGAUGCUCCGAGUCCCACUUAAUCUGUGACUGAAAGACCAGUUGUCACCCAUGUCCGAUAUUAUUGCUGCUGUUAUCAGUUCUUUGUGACGGUGCCCAGGUCAUCACAGGGGCCGGUGGUGUGACUAAGCGCUUCCCAGGCACCCCUGACACAGUCCUGGCUGACAGGUGACGUUGCUGUGCUGUGGCCAGGCUGAAAGUCCCAGGGGCUGAGUCAUGGGGUGACCCUGAGAACCCCAGCAGGUGCCUGGGCCCCGUCCGUGGGGCUGUGUCUCUGUGGCCGCAUUGGUGGGAAGGCAGCAGCUGCCGGGUGGGGGGUGGGGGUGCGAGCAGCUCAGGCGUCUCCUUCCAGGGAAGCGGACGGAAGCUCAGACUGGUGCCCACCCCCUGCACCGGAGCCACCGCUUCCCUCGGCGCUUUGUGAAGCCGAAGUUCAAAGUCCUGUAGGAAGACCCAAUAAUGAAUCUUAGCCAGCGCGGAUACAAAGCUUUCAUUACGGUGCUUGUAAAUGGGUUUCUUCUGGGUUCUGGUGGCUCCCCUGUGCCUGUUUAUAAAAGUGCUUUGAAGGAUGGGGAAACUGAGGCCUCAGCCGACAGCCCAGUGGGGGUGAGGCUGAUGAAAGAACUGGUCCAGCUCCUGCAGUCCACACUCAAGAAGCCGCGAAGGCUGCACGAAGCAAUUAAAAAUGAGCCAACUCCAGGAGUUCCCUGCAGGUCUGGUGGUUAGAACGCGGCGCUGGGGUUCAAUCUCUGGCCUGGGAACCGAGCUCCCCCGUCAAGCCGCUGUGCCACGGCUAAGAGGAAAGAGCAGACUCCCGUGACCCAGGCCAGGUGCCUCACAGACACCAUGCUGGACGGAAAAGGCCGGACACAGAAGCCCCCACCCACCCACGUGCUGCAAGCUUCCGUCUAGGUGAAGUUCUGACACGGAUGAAUGAGGUGAUAAUGCCAGGAGGGCGGCGGGGACUGUGGGGCUGGCCUCAGGUCUUGGAUUGUGUGCCAAUUACCCAGGCGAGCGUGUACGGACGACUCACCAAGCAGCCCACCCGAGAUCUGUCUCCCAUAAAUAAAAGAUGUAAAAAAGAGAGAGAGAAAAUUCA
rnacentral:lncRNA from 1 species